rnacentral:rRNA from 1 species
CCUACGGGAGGCAGCAGUGGGGAAUAUUGGACAAUGGGGGGAACCCUGAUCCAGCCAUGCCGCGUGUGUGAAGAAGGCCCUCGGGUUGUAAAGCACUUUCAGUGAGGAAGAACGCCUGGUGGUUAAGACCCAUCAGGAAAGACAUCACUCACAGAAGAAGCACCGGCUAACUCCGUGCCAGCAGCCGCGGUAAUACGGAGGGUGCGAGCGUUAAUCGGAAUUACUGGGCGUAAAGCGCGCGUAGGUGGCUUGAUAAGCCGGUUGUGAAAGCCCCGGGCUCAACCUGGGAACGGCAUCCGGAACUGUCAAGCUAGAGUGCAGGAGAGGAAGGUAGAAUUCCCGGUGUAGCGGUGAAAUGCGUAGAGAUCGGGAGGAAUACCAGUGGCGAAGGCGGCCUUCUGGACUGACACUGACACUGAGGUGCGAAAGCGUGGGUAGCAAACAGGAUUAGAUACCCUGGUAGUC